rnacentral:rRNA from 1 species
GAUGAACGCUGGCGGCGUGCUUAACACAUGCAAGUCGAACGAAGCACUCUACUUGAUCUCUUCGGAGUGAUUGUUUUGUGACUGAGUGGCGGACGGGUGAGUAACGCGUGGGUAACCUGCCUCAUACAGGGGGAUAACAGUUGGAAACGACUGCUAAUACCGCAUAAGCGCACAGCAUCGCAUGAUGCAGUGUGAAAAACUCCGGUGCUAUGAGAUGGACCCGCGUCUGAUUAGCCAGUUGGUGGGGUAACGGCCUACCAAAGCGACGAUCAGUAGCCGACCUGAGGGGGUGACCGGCCACAUUGGGACUGAGACACGGGCCGAACUCCUACGGGAGGCAGCAGUGGGGAAUAUUGCACAAUGGGGGAAACCCUGAUGCAGCGACGCCGCGUGAGCGAAGGAGUAUUUCGGUAUGUAAAGCUCUAUCAGCAGGGAAGAAGAAAUGACGGUACCUGACUAAGAAGCACCGGCUAAAUACGUGCCAGCCGCCGCGGUAA